rnacentral:rRNA from 1 species
GAUGAACGCUGGCGGCGUGCCUAAUACAUGCAAGUCGAGCGAACGGACGAGAAGCUUGCUUCUCUGAUGUUAGCGGCGGACGGGUGAGUAACACGUGGAUAACCUACCUAUAAGACUGGGAUAACUUCGGGAAACCGGAGCUAAUACCGGAUAAUAUUUUGAACCGCAUGGUUCAAAAGUGAAAGACGGUCUUGCUGUCACUUAUAGAUGGAUCCGCGCUGCAUUAGCUAGUUGGUAAGGUAACGGCUUACCAAGGCAACGAUGCAUAGCCGACCUGAGAGGGUGAUCGGCCACACUGGAACUGAGACACGGUCCAGACUCCUACGGGAGGCAGCAGUAGGGAAUCUUCCGCAAGGGGCGAAAGCCUGACGGAGCAACGCCGCGGGAGUGAUGAAGGUCUUCGGAUCGUAAAACUCUGUUAUUAGGGAAGAACAUAUGUGUAAGUAACUGUGCACAUCUUGACGGUACCUAAUCAGAAAGCCACGGCUAACUACGU